rnacentral:SRP_RNA from 1 species
GCCGGGUGCGGUGGCAUGUGCCUGUAAUCCAAGUCACUGGGAGGCUGAGGUUGGUGGAUCAAGUGAGCUGAGGAGCUCUGGGCUGCAGCACACUAUGUGGAACGGGUGUCCACGCUAAGUUCGGUAUCGAUAUGGUGUUCCUGGGGGAGCCCGGGACCACCAGGUUGUCUAAGGAGGGGUGACCGGCCCAGGUCGGAAACGAAGCAGGUCAAAUCCCCCGUGCUGUCCAGUAGUGGGAUAAUACCUGUGAGUAGAUGCUGCAGUGCAGCCUUGGCGAAACAUCGAGACCUAAUCUUUC